CUCUUACAGAAUUUGUGUGCUGAAUGUAAUGACAGAUUAUGGGUGGAAUGCCAUUUCCGAGAUCAGUGAAAAAGAAGCAAAUUCCUGGUGCUCGGUAUGUACUAUAGCUUGAUAGCAUUUGGUCUAGAUCAGGCAUUUGCUAGUUCAACACCUCCUUUGAAACCAAGAACGAGAGUGACACAAAGAAUCAUGAGGAUGUAGUUUACCUCUGGGGAAUAGAUUUGUCCUUCAUGCUUGGAUGAAGUAUGUAUAAUGUUUACUCGAGGGAAGCAUCCAAGAGCAAGUGAUUGCUUUACAAUGGAAAAAGUUGCUGAUAUCAUGGACUGGCUAGCAACCACGGCAGCUAGAGUUGAGAUUACAAACAUUGGCCAGUAAACAGGUUUUGGUAGGGAACUGUAAUAAGCGUUGUUGAUAUUCUCCGGAUACCUCACUAGAUAAGCUGUUUCUCCGGCAUAGCUGAGAACUAGGGAUGGAUAAACUAUAAAAGAAAAUGCCAACUGCAAGACUCAUUGUACAGAAAUGCCAUCAAUCAGAUUAACUUUUCUAAUGGUAGAUUAGAGUUCUUUGUUCCUUACCUGAAUUGCUCUUUUAUUGAAAUGACCUAAAUCAGCAAACAUGGCUUCCGCUCCUGCAUGACAGUUUAAAACAUGUCGGAAGUGAACUAAUUUUCUCCUAUUUCAUAUGCUUUUCUUUUAUCUUUUUUUUUUCCCCUCAAAAGUAGUUGUAAAGUUAAACCUGUAAUGCUUAGAAAUACUGCACCGAGAAGAUUCCAAGCAGUCUUUCCAUUUCUUGAAACAAAUUUCACUAUGUAGUGUGGAGAUAUGGCUUUAAGAACGGAUGGAUAGUACUCCAAAAUAUUGUAGAUACCGACUGAAACAUUGGUAGCAAACCACAAUAACAUUACGGGUGUGAAGCAGAAGCUAACUUUGCUUGUUCCACAGCGUUGAAAAGUGAAAAGUGCGAUUAACAUAAUCACAGACAUGAAAACCACAUGAUCUGCAGCCAAUAGAACUUUCAUUAAACCUCACGUUUUGGUGAGUAAAUGGAAGCAGAUCUGAACUAGCAAUAGAACUGUCUUUUGAAAAUUAUUUUGACUUUACCUUGUGUUAUCUUGGAAGAGAGAGAUUGAAUUCCUUGCAGGGCUGAGAGAACUGAUGUAACAAGUGUAUGGACAUGAGGCAACGUCGAAAGUAAAUAUAACUUGGAGAAAACAAAGGAAGAAUGUUACCGCAAGUAGCAGGAGUGAGAGCUCCAUCACCAAUGACCAUACAAGUUCCAAGUAAAACAACAAAAGUAAGAACAUUUUGAGCUGUGGAACUUCUCUCCAGGAACUUCUUAGUUUUUGAACGCCUAGAACUUCCACUCUCUUGGCUGUAACAAGCCAUGCUCUCAUCAGAUUCCAUCCUAACGUUGUGGAUACUAAGUUUGCUUUGGAAAUUGAUAUGGCGACAGAGAUAUGAAUAGAGAGCAAAAGUACCGCCUUCUCCAUGAUCAUUAGCAUGGAGGACGAUGAAGACAUAUUUGACUAACACAAGCAAUGUUAGAGUCCAAAAGAUUAGGCUGAAUGUCCCAAGUAAAUCAUCUUCAGUGAGAUUCGUCAAGCGAGUAGAGGAAAAGACAUUGACAGGAGGAGUGGCAAGGUCCCCAUAUACAACUCCAAGAGAUUGGUAAGCCAACAACAAGGUCUGCAUGGGUGGAUAUUCCUGAGAAAAAUACUCAAAAUCUCAAUAUCCUAUGAAGUGACUUAGAAGUUUCAAGACAGUAACAAAAAAAAGUGUGAUGUUAUCAGAUUUUAUCGAAACUGGUAGUAGCACUAGCACACAUCGAGGAUAAAAUGAGAACAGGUUGCUUGUGAUGAUUUCAUCAUGUCCUAUGUCAACCUCCAGAUGCACCGGUCUGCAGGAACCAUGAUGACUUAAGGUGUUCAAAAGGAAGAGACAAAGCUUAAUGGAGUGACAUGGACAAUGAGAAUUCAUAUAGCCGAGGAUUCACAUAGACGGUCUUAAACAGAGCGACAGUGGAUAUUUCUUGGAAUAUUGAAGGUACUGGUUCUGGAACAACUCUCCUGCUGUUGUUACAAAGGACACUUCCAAUAUUCUAGUUAAGAAGUUGCCGUACUUUGUGUCAUGCUUAUAUAGCUUCAAAAAAACCUCAAGGACUAUUGAUUUGGUUGAUCCUAAGAAUAAAACAAAAGAUAUAAGUUAGAGCUGCAAAUUCUAAAAGCCACAAGUUGCUGGAGAGGGAGCAGGUAUAUAUAUCAGUGUUGACACAUCUUGACCUAAGCUAGUCCAGUGUAAUGGUUAAAGUAUUGCAUAACUUUCUUAUGCUCCCGUGUUCCGUCCUAGCUAGCGAUAUCAUUAUAUUUUUUUACACCUUUAAUAAAAAUCUUAACUCCGCCGCUAUCCGUCCACAUAUGUACAUGGAGGACGUAGGUAUUGCCGAAAGUGUUAAGUGAGAAGGAUGUAAGUUAUUCUAAAAGGGCUAACUGACAUACACAUAUGUAUACUACUUUGGAGUCACACUGCUUAUUAAAUUUAGUCAAAGACGUCGACCUAUCUGUCCAAAAUACUCUUAUGAGGUAUUUAACUUUAAAUUUUAUUGGCUUU